rnacentral:rRNA from 1 species
UACGUAGGGUGCAAGUGUUGUUCGGAAUUACUGGGCGUAAAGGAUGUGUAGGCGGUUUAGUAAAUUAUAUGUGAAAUCCCUCAGCUUAACUGAGGAAUUGCAUCUAAUAUUGCUAGACUAGAAUAUGAUAGAGGACAGCGGAAUUCCUGGUGUAGGGGUAAAAUCCAUAGAUAUCAGGAGGAACACCGAAAGCGUAGGCAGCUGUCUGGGUCAUUAUUGACGCUGAGACAUGAAAGCAUGGGGAGCAAACAGG